rnacentral:rRNA from 1 species
GACGAACGCUGGCGGCGUGCUUAACACAUGCAAGUCGAACGGAAAGGCCCGCUUGCGGGUACUCGAGUGGCGAACGGGUGAGUAACACGUGGGCAACCUACCCUCAGCUUUGGGAUAACCCCCGGAAACGGGAGCUAAUACCGAAUACUGAUCUCUCAUCGCAUGGUGAGAUAUCGAAAGUUUUUCGGCUGAGGAUGGGCCCGCGGCCUAUCAGCUUGUUGGUGGGGUAAUGGCCUACCAAGGCGACGACGGGUAGCCGGCCUGAGAGGGCGACCGGCCACACUGGAACUGAGACACGGUCCAGACUCCUACGGGAGGCAGCAGUGGGGAAUAUUGCGCAAUGGGCGAAAGCCUGACGCAGCGACGCCGCGUGAGGGAUGACGGCCUUCGGGUUGUAAACCUCUUUCGACAGGGACGAAUUUGACGGUACCUGUAGAAGAAGCUCCGGCUAACUACGUGCCAGCCGCCGCGGUAACAC